AUGAGAGCUACACAUUCCAAAAAAGUUGGGACAGGUAGCAAUAAGAGGCCGGAAAAGUUAAAUGUACAUAUAGUCAAGAUGGGCAGAGGAUCACCAAUUCCCCCAAUGCUGCAGCGAAAAAUAGUGGAGCAAUAUCAGAAAGGAGUUUCUCAGAGAGAAAUUGCAAAGAGUUUGAAGUUAUCAUCAUCUACAGUGCAUAAUAUCAUCCAAAGAUUCAGAGAAACUGGAACAAUCUGUGUGCGUAAGGGUCAAGGCCGGAAAACCAUACUGGAUGCCCGUGAUCUUCAAGCCCUUAGACGGCACUGCAUAAAUGCCAGACCACAUACUGCAUCAAUUACAACAUCAUGGCUGCGUAGAAGAAGGAUGUGGGUACUGAAAUGGGCAGCCUGCAGUCCAGAUCUUUCACCCAUAGAAAACAUUUGGUGCAUCAUAAAGAGGAAGAUGCGACAAAGAAGACCUAAGACAUUUGAGCAACUAGAAGCCUGUAUUAGACAAGAAUGGGACAACAUUCCUAUUCCUAAACUUGAGCAACUUGUCUCCUCAGUCCAAAUUCAACUUACUUUUCCUUUAAAAUGAUACAUUUUCUCAGUUUAAAGGUUAAAGGUUUGUGUAUAUAUAUACAGGUGCUGGUCAUAUAAUUAGAAUAUCAUCAAAAAGUUGAUUUAUUUCACUUAUUCCAUUCAAAAAGUGAAACUUGUAUAUUAUAUUCAUUCAUUACACACAGACUGAUAUAUUUCAAAUGUUUAUUUCUUUUAAUUUUGAUGAUUAUAACUGACAACUAAGGAAAAUCCCAAAUUCAGUAUCUCAGAAAAUUAGAAUAUUACUUAAGACCAAUACAAAGAAAGGAUUUUUAGAAAUCUUGGCCAACUGAAAAGUAUGAACAUGAAAAGUAUGAGCAUGUACAGCACUCAAUACUUAGUUAGGGCUCCUUUUGCCUGAAUUACUGCAGCAAUGUGGCGUGGCAUGGAGUCGAUCAGUCUGUGGCACUGCUCAGGUGUUAUGAGAGCCCAGGUUGCUCUGAUAGUGGCCUUCAGCUCUUCUGCAUUCUUGAGUCUGGCAUAUCGCAUCUUCCUCUUCACAAUACAAAUAUCUGACAUGCAUGAAUUUUACAUGCAAGAUUUCAAAACCUAUUUCAGGCAUGCUCACUGAACCGCAAAUUAAAAAUUAAGGUCAGGCGAGUUUGCUGGCCAAUUAAGAACAGGGAUACCAUGGUCCUUAAACCAGGUACUGGUAGUUUUGGCACUGUGUCCAGGUACCAAGUCCUGUUGGAGAAUGAAAUCUGCAUCUCCAUAAAGUUGGUCAGCAGCAGGAAGCAUGAAGUGCUCUAAAACUUCCUGGUAUAUGGCUGCGUUGACCUUGGACCUCAGAAAACACAGUGGACCAACACCAGCAGAUGACAUGGCACUCCAAACCAUCACUGACUGUGGAAACUUUACACUGGACCUCAAGCAACAUGGAUUGUGUGUCUCUCCUCUCUUCCUCCAGACUCUGGGACCCUGAUUUCCAAAGGAAAUGCAAAAUUUACUUUCAUCAGAGAACAUAACUUUGGACCACUCAGUAGCAGUCCAGUCCUUUUUGAAGCGAGACGCUUCUGACGCUGUCUGUUGUUCAAGAGUGGGCUUGACACAAGGAAUGCGACAGCUGAAACCCAUGUUUUGCAUACAUCUGUGCGUAGUGGUUUUUGAAGCACUGACUCCAGCUGAAGUCCACUCUAUGUGAAUCUCCCCCGCAUUUUUGAAUGGGUUUUGUUUCACAAUCCUCUCCAGGGUGCGGUUAUCCCUAUUGAUUGUACACUUUUUUCUACCACAUCUUUUCCUUCCCUUCGCCUCUCUAUUAAUGUGCUUGGAAACAGAGCUCUAUGAACAGCCAGGCUCUUUUGCAAUGACCUUUUGUGUCUUGCCCUCCUUGUGCAAGGUGUCAAUGGUUGUCUUUUGGACUGUCAACUCAGCAGUCUUCCCUGUGAUUGUGUAGCCUACAAAACUAGACCGAGAGACCAUUUAAAGGCCUUUGUAGGUGUUUUGAGUUAAUUAGCUGAUUAGAGUGUGGCACCAGGUGUCUUCAAUAUUGAACCUUUUCACAAUAUUCUAAUUUUCUGAGAUACUGAAUUUGGGAUUUUCCUUAGUUGUCAGUUAUAAUCAUCAAACAUUUGAAAUAUAUCAGUCUGUGUGUAAUGAAUGAAUAUAAUAUACAAGUUUCACUUUUUGAAUGGAAUUAGUGAAAUAAAGCAACCUUUUGAUGAUAUUCUAAUUAAAUGACCAGCACCUGUGUGUGUGUGUGUAUAUAUAUAUAUAUAUAUAUAUAUAUAUAUAUAUAUAUAUAUAGUAUUAUAUAUAUAUCUAUAUAUAUAUAUAUAUAUAUAUAUAUAUAUAUAUAUAUAUAUUUCAACAAAAUAAGAAAAAUUUGGACAUCUUCUUCAUCCUGUUCAAAGGUUUUCACCCCCGGCUCUUAAUCCAUCAUGUUUCCUCCUGGAGCAUCAGUAAAUGUUUGAACCUUUUUUAAUAGUUGUGUUUUUGGGACUCAUGAACAACCAACCCCUACCCAUAAAAAGAAAUUUGUGGAUCAUCCAGGUAAACACACACAGUGUUAAGAACCAAUGGUUCCCGGUUAUUUUAAUAACUUCUGCUAUUUUUAAUUUUUUUUUUUUUUUGUCUUGUGGACUAAAUGUAAACAUCUUUUAUGUACAAUGUCUUACUCAGGACAGUACUAAAUAAAAAAAUAACACAAAUUUUGUAUGAUCUCUCUUAUUUUGUUAAAAUUAUUCACAUUUUCACAGAUUCUGCAAAGGGUUCCCAAACGUCUGCAUGCCACUGUGUAUAUAUAUAUAUAUAUAUAUAUAUAUAUAUAUAUAUAUAUAUAUAUAUAUAUAUAUAUAUAUAUAUAUAUACUGUAUAUACUUCAAGAUAAAUGCUUGUUACAUGUUUUUGUCUAAACCAGUGUAUUGAGGUUUAUAUUUAUAACAAGGUCUAAAAAGGUUUUUUUUUUUUUGUAUGUGGUUUUUCACAGCACUGUAUAAAACAGAAAUAGGUCAUGUUAAAUUAAAAAUAUCUGACAUGCAUGAAUUUUACAUGCAAGAUUUCAAAACCUAUUUCAGGCAUGCUCACUGAACUGCAAAAUUAAAAGCGAACCUACAUAACAGUCCCAGUGCAGGUGUGUAACGCAAGGAUUUCCAUCAGAGAACAAAAGAGACAUAUAUAUGUUUCCAAUUUAAUCCUUCUCAUCAUUUCCAAAGACUUACUACUAAGUAUGCUCAUGCAUUGGUUCAAGAUUUAUGAAAUUUUUCAGAAUACUUGUGGCCCAUAUUUUGUAAUUUUUACAUGUAGAGUUGUAAAUGUACUAUAUAGCACAACAGGCGCAAUAAUAUGUUUAAAUUACAUUUAUUAUGCCUAUUUUAACACAUUUCCUUAAAAAAAAUAACAUGCCCUCAUGCUAAUUUGUCAUAAAAUGGUGUGAUAAUAUAAUAAUAAUAAUUCAUCACAUCUAUACAGCGCUUUUCUGGGCACUCAAAGAGCUUUUACAUAGAACGGGGUAAUCUCCUCAACCACCACCAGUGUGCAGAAUCCACCUGGAUGAUGCAACGGCAGCCAAAUUGCACCAGAACGCCCACCACACACCAGCUUAUUGGUGGAGAGGAGACAUAGUGAUGAAGCCAAUUUGGCCUUGGCCUGGAUGCAUUCCUUAGAUGAGUUUUACUGAAGCUUCGAUGAAUAGUCACAAACAGACAUUGAUUGCUGUGAAGUAUUUCUUAUAUAACGAGCUUGAAAGUGGCGCAUAAUCAUGCGAGCUACAAUUGCAGCCUGCCAUUAUGAAAUAUCCAUAAUUAUUUCACACUGAAGAUAGAGUUAGUUUUGAUUUCCUUUGUCUUCAGGCAAUAACUUUGCAAAUUGUUGUAUUCUUUUCGGACCUGUGGUUUGGCUCGAAGAAAUGGGAAAUUACAAAAGCUUUUUGAAAAGAAAAUGUUCCAGAGGGAAUAAACGCUGUGAUUUUCUCUACAGCCUACAUCAGAUUUUGGAAUCCUGGGCACAAUGUCGG
ensembl:lncRNA